GGGAGUGUUCCAAAGACUUCUGAAAUGGGAACCAUGCCCAGAAUGCGGGAAGGAUUUCGCUCCAACCUGGCAGACAGUUUAAGUGACCUCAAAGCUCCCCAGCACUCGCCAUGAAGGGAGGCACCAUGACGCUGGCCUGAUUAUCAUCGACAUUCAAAUCUAUUUCCAGAAUUCAUGCUGCCCUUUCACUAAUGUUACCUUUUUCAUGAGUACACAACCACCAUCAAAUUCUAAGUAUUCAUUAUGACUGGAAAAAUUGCACUUUUCAUACAUGAAAAAGGGAUCUUCAACAUAGUCCGCCAUUUUGAAUUUCCAAAAAUAGCCACUUUCAGCUGCAAAAAUGACUGCACUCGGACCAUACUAGAAAAUAUUUGUUUAUUACUUAGUACACUUUCAUGUAAAGACCAAAUUUGGCAAUAUGCAGCCCAGUUUCAAUGAGCAGCAUAGUUGCAGUACCUUUUUUGACCAUUUCCUGCACAGUGUCCCUUUAACAUUUACCAAGUACUUUACUCCAGACCUGAUUCACAAGGAGGGCUCAGUCUGGCUACCGUGAGGCACAUUUUAGUUGUUUUUGUGUUGAUUUCUUUUGUUUUUAUUACUAUCAUUAUAGUGUUAUUAUUAUUAUUAUUCAAAGCUUAUUUGUUUUUUUGUGUGUGAUUUUUUUAAACAAUGCACCUGCCCCCCAAAAUCUGUGCACGCGCAUGUGUGUGUGUGUGUGUGUGUGUGUG